UACGUAGGGUGCAAGCGUUGUUCGGAUUUACUGGGCGUAAAGCGUGUGUAGGCGGCUUCGCAAGUUGGAUGUGAAAUCCCACGGCUCAACCGUGGACGUGCAUCCAAAACUGCGUCGCUAGAGUCUCGGAGAGGAAGGUGGAAUGCUCGGUGUAGAGGUGAAAUUCGUAGAUAUCAAGCAGAACACCUGCGGCGAAGGCGGCCUUCUGGACGAUGACUGACGCUGAGACACGAAAGCGUGGGGAGCAAACAGG
rnacentral:rRNA from 1 species